rnacentral:tRNA from 1 species
GGUACUGUAGCAAAGUGGUUAAUGCGAUCGGCUGCUAACCGGUUGGUCUUAGACCGCGCAGGUUCGAAUCCUGUCAGUGCCG